UAAAAAACGACGACAGAAGAGUAACUGAGUUAACUAGUCCAGAGAAUCAACGGUGGUGCGAGUUGAUCUAGUCCUUGGCGAAACACAUCUGUAAGUUGAAUGAUUGAAUCAAGUAGGUCAUUUCGGUAGCACCGUUAAAGCUGAAGUUAUUGUAACUUCGUGAGCCUAAUAUCGUGAGGUAUUGGGAACCAGAGGUGGAACCGCGAAUAUUCGCCCUCUUA
rnacentral:ncRNA from 1 species